AUUAACCGUGGGCGAUCAGGAUGUUACAAGUGAAAUCAGAGCCAAAUCCAGACGAGUGUGGAGUAAGUGAGGGCUUACAUUAACAUGGAUAACGAUCCCUAGAGCGCAAUAGAGACGUUGCGUUCUUUGAGAGGGAGUGAAUUGUAACAUCCCGGUUUGUGGUAUAUAUUUGAAGGCUUAAGAGAAUUGAUUUAGCUACCUAUGUCACCAAAGUGUAUUUACUUUUUUCGUCACACAUCUGUUUAGAACUCAAGAGUUAAGCGUGCUCGAACUGAAAUAAUAAAAUGAUGGAUGACCUAUCAGAAAGUGAUUUGCGAUACCGUGUAAGUAAGACCAAAGUACGAAAAAAUGUUAUUUGGUGACUGCAUGGUCAGUAAACAAGACUUUCAAGUAUUAAGCAAAAAUAGUGUACUACCCGUUAAACGGGAUGGAAUCCAAGGACCGAAUGAGCGAAUGUAGGAGGUCC
rnacentral:lncRNA from 1 species